rnacentral:rRNA from 1 species
UCUACGGGUGGCAGCAGUGAGGAAUAUUGCGCAAUGGGGGAAACCCUGACGCAGCAACGCCGCGUGAGUGAGGAAGGUUUUCGGACCGUAAAGCUCUGUCGAGCGGGAAGAAGUGCAUGGUGGCUCAUAUCCAUUAUGCUUGACGGUACCGCUAAAGGAAGCACCGGCUAACUCCGUGCCAGCAGCCGCGGUAAUACGGGGGGUGCUAGCGUUGUUCGGAAUCGUGUGGCGUAAUGGAUAUGUCAGCGGCGAAAGCCCUGGGCUUAACCUAGGAAGUGCAUUUGAAACUGUUCAGCUUGAGUAAGGGAGAGGAAAGUGGAAUUCCUGGUGUAGAGGUGAAAUUCGUAGAUAUCAGGAGGAACACCGGUGGCGAAGGCGACUUUCUGGCCCUAUACUGACGCUGAGACGCGAGAGCGUGGGUAGCAAACAGGAUUAGAUACCCGUGUAGUC